CGUGUACCUAUUACUUAAAUAAAACAACCAUCUUUCAAUAAAUGUUCUUUUAGCGCUGGUGAGCGUGUUGAAUGCUCCUUUCUGUCAAACGUACCUAUACAUAAAUCAAGUCAUCGAAACAAGAACACAAAAUUUACUAAAAGAUGAAAAAACGAAA